CAGUCGCCACGGGAAUACGAAGGGGGCUAGCGUUGCUCGGAAUGACUGGGCGUAAAGGGCGCGUAGGCGGCGGCCAAAGUCAGGCGUGAAAUUCCCGGGCUCAACCUGGGGGCUGCGUUUGAUACUUGGUUGCUUGAGUGGGGAAGAGGGUCGUGGAAUUCCCAGUGUAGAGGUGAAAUUCGUAGAUAUUGGGAAGAACACCGGUGGCGAAGGCGGCGACCUGGUCCUUUACUGACGCUGAGGCGCGAAAGCGUGGGGAGCAAACAGGAUUAGAUACCCCUGUAGUCCCUGUCUCUUAUAU
rnacentral:rRNA from 1 species